CUAUACAUGACUCUGCGCAUAUCAAUAAGCGGAGGAAAAGAAACUAACAAGGAUUCCCUUAGUAACGGCGAGUGAAGCGGGAAGAGCUCAAAUUUGAAAUCUUCAAGGUUCUACCUUGACGAAUUGUAGUUUAUAGAAGUGUUUUCUGUUAGUGGAGUGGCAAAAGUUCUUUGGAAUAGGACAUCAUAGAGGGUGAGAAUCCCGUAUUUGGUCAUUCCUCCUAGCGUUGUGAUACACUUUCAACGAGUCGGAUUGUUUGGGAAUGCAGUCCAAAAUGGGUGGUAAAUUUCAUCUAAAGCUAAAUAUUGGCGAGAGACCGAUAGCGAACAAGUACCGUGAGGGAAAGAUGAAAAGAACUUUGAAGAGAGAGUUAAACAGUACGUGAAAUUGUCAAAAGGGGAGCGUUUGACACCAGUGUUGUUUUUCCGAAAAUCAAUUACGAAUGUUUUGUUUUUGAGGAGUUAUGACUUCAUCGGCUUGCUCCUUUCUUUAUGAAACUUUCUUAAUGCACUUUUCGGUUAACAAGUCAACAUCAAUUUCUUUUGUUGUAAAAGGGUAUGAGGAAGGUGGCUUUCUUUUCGGAGAAAGUGUUUAUAGCCUUGUGCCUCUGCAAUCGGAGAGAUUGAGGUCUGCAGCGUAGAUCCUUCGGGGUUAGAUACGUUUGUGCUAAGUUAUAGCUUUUCAUAGACAACUUGUUGACUAUGUUUAGUCUUGUAGCUUACUCGCUGACGCUAUUUUACCUACGCUUAGGAUGUUGACGAGACUGUCGAUCUC
rnacentral:rRNA from 1 species